rnacentral:rRNA from 1 species
GACGAACGCUGGCGGCGUGCUUAACACAUGCAAGUCGAACGGAAAGGCCCUGCUUUUGUUGGGUGCUCGAGUGGCGAACGGGUGAGUAACACGUGAGUAACCUGCCCUUGACUUUGGGAUAACUGCAGGAGACUCGGGCUAAUACCGGAUAGGACCUCCUGCUGCAUGGGGGGGGUUGGAAAGGUUCGGCGGUUGGGGAUGGACUCGCGGCUUAUCAGCUUGUUGGGGGGGGGGUGGCUUACCAAGGCUUUGACGGGUAGCCGGCCUGAGAGGGUGACCGGCCAAAUGGGGACGGAGAAACGGCCCAGACUCCUAGGGGGGGCAGAAGUGGGGAAUAUUGCACAAUGGGCGGAAGCUGGAUGCAGAACCGCGGCGGGCGGGAUGACGGCCUUCGGGUUGUAAACCGCUUCCGCCUGUGACGAAGCGUGAGUGACGGUAAUGGGUAAAGAAGCACCGGCUAACUACGUG